rnacentral:rRNA from 1 species
UACAGAGGGUGCAAGCGUUGUUCGGAAUUACUGGCGUAAGCGCGCGCAGGCGGGUUUGUAAGUCGGAAGUGAAAUCUCACUGCUCAACGGUGGGCUGCUUCUGAUACUGCAAAUCUUGAGACCGGUAGAGGUUGGUAGAAUUGCAGGUGUAGCGGUGGAAUGCGUAGAGAUCUGCAAGAAUACCCGUGGCGAAGGCGGCCAACUGGGCCG